AAGUCGUAACAAGGUUUCCGUAGGUGAACCUGCGGAAGGAUCAUUACCACAUAUCAUCGGGGGGAAACUUCGGUUUCCCCUGUCUGAACCCUUGUCUUUUGCGUACUAUUUGUUUCCUCGGUGGGCUUGCCUGCCGAUAGGACAACCAUUAAACCUUUUGUAAUUGCAAUCAGCGUCAGAAAAAACAUAAUAGUUACAACUUUCAACAACGGAUCUCUUGGUUCUG
rnacentral:misc_RNA from 1 species